GUAGGUGAACCUGCGGAAGGAUCAUUACAGAGUUCAUGCCCGAAAGGGUAGACCUCCCACCCUUGUGUAUUAUUACUUUGUUGCUUUGGCGAGCUGCCCUCGGGCCUCGUACGCUCGCCAGAGGAUAUCAAAACUCUUUUUAUUCAUGUCGUCUGAGUACUAUAUAAUAGUUAAAACUUUCAACAACGGAUCUCUUGGUUCUG
rnacentral:misc_RNA from 1 species